GAAAUGCGAUAAAUAAUGUGAAUUGCAGAAUUUCAGUGAAUCAUCGAGUCUUUGAACGCACAUUGCGCCCCAUGGCAUUCUGUGCGGCAUGCCCAUCUCAGCAUCAGAAAAAUCUAUCAAGCUUGGAUCACUUUUGCCCUGGCUUGGACCAUAUCAAAGAAGUGGAGUGCUUUUGUUUCUCUGCCCUUUGGAAAACCAUCAAUAUUCAGGUUGUAAUCCUUGAUCCAACGUGGUAACAUUCUUAACUCGUAGGAUGAGGAAGAAGCUUUGGAUUGUUUUCAUUAGUAGCAUGGACAUGUUCAAACGAAAAUAUUGACCUGAGAUCGGGUAGGGAUACCCGCUGAACUUAA
rnacentral:misc_RNA from 1 species